rnacentral:rRNA from 1 species
ACGGGUGCGGAACACGUACGCAACCUUCCCAAAACUGGGGGAUAGCUUUCGGAAACGAAAAUUAAUACCCCGUAACACAAUGAGAUGGCAUCAUUUUAUUGUUAUAGUUCCGACGGUUUUGGAUGGGCGUGCGGCUGAUUAGGUAGUUGGCGGGGUAAUAGCCCACCAAGCCUACGAUCAGUAACUGGUGUGAGAGCACGACCAGUCACACGGGCACUGAGACACGGGCCCGACUCCUACGGGAGGCAGCAGUAAGGAAUAUUGGUCAAUGGACGCAAGUCUGAACCAGCCAUGCCGCGUGGAGGAUGAAGGUCCUCUGGAUUGUAAACUUCUUUUAUCGGAGAAGAAAUCCCGGAAUUCUUUCUGGGUUGACGGUACCCGAUGAAUAAGCACCGGCUAACUCCGUGCCAGCAGCCGCGGUAAUACGGAGGGUGCAAGCGUUAUCCGGAUUCACUGGGUUUAAAGGGUGCGUAGGCGGGUUGGUAAGUCAGUGGUGAAAUCUUCAAGCUUAACUUGGAAACUGCCGUUGAUACUAUCAAUCUUGAAUAUUGUGGAGGUAAGCGGAAUAUGUCAUGUAGC